UGAAUACGAGACGCUAAGGCGUCGAAGUAGUGUAUGUCAUACUUCCAAGAAAAGCUUGCACUGUCAUAGAUAAAAAACGCCUGUACCAUAACCGACACAGGUGGGUAGGUAGAGUAUACUAAGGGGCGCGAGAUAACUCUCUCUAAGGAACUCGGCAAAAUAACUCCGUAACUUCGGGAGAAGGAGUGCCUUAUUCGUAAGGUUGCAAUAACAAGAUCCAAGCAACUGUUUAUCAAAAACACAGGUCUCCGCUAAGUCGUAAGACGAUGUAUGGGGGCUGACGCCUGCCCAGUGCCAGAAGGUUAAAGAAGUUGGUUAGCAAUUGCGAAGCUGAUAACUGAAGCCCUGGUGAACGGCGGCCGUAACAAUAACGGUCCUAAGGUAGCGAAAUUCCUUGUCGGGUAAGUUCCGACCCGCACGAAAGGCGUAAUGAUUUGGAUACUGUCUCGGAGAGGGGCUCGGUGAAAUAGACUUGUCUGUGAAGAUGCGGACUACCUGCACCAGGACAGAAAGACCCUAUGAAGCUUUACUGUAACUUGAAAUUGAAAUUGGACUUUAUUCGCGCAGCAUAGGUGGGAGGCGUUGAUUAUAAUCUUGCGGGAUUAUUGGAGCCAUCAGUGAGAUACCACUCUUGUAAUGUUAGAUUUCCAACUUUGAAUCAUUAUCUGGUCAAAGAACAGUUUCAGGCGGGCAGUUUGACUGGGGCGGUCGCCUCCUAAACGGUAACGGAGGCGUACAAAGGUUUCCUCUGAACGGUUAGAAAUCGUAUCUAGGGUGUAAAGGCAUAAGGAAGCUUGACUGUGAGACCUACAAGUCGAGCAGGGACGAAAGUCGGUCUUAGUGAUCUGACGGUACUGAGUGGAAAGGCCGUCACUCAACGGAUAAAAGUUACUCUAGGAUAACAGGCUGAUCUCCCCCAAGAGUUCACAUCGACGGGGAGGUUUGGCACCUCGAUGUCGGCUCAUCGCAUCCUGGGGCGGUAGUACGUCCCAAGGGUUGGGCUGUUCGCCCAUGAAAGCGGUACGCGAGCUGGGUUCAGAACGUCGUGAGACAGUUCGGUCCAUAUCCGGUGUAGGCGUUAGAAUAUUGAGAGGAGCCUUCUUUAGUACGAGAGGACCGAGAAGGACAUACCUCUGGUGUACCAGUUAUCGUGCCAACGGUAAACGCUGGGUAGCUAUGUAUGGAGUGGAUAACCGCUGAAAGCAUCUAAGUGGGAAGCCCACCUCAAGAUAAGUA
rnacentral:rRNA from 1 species